rnacentral:rRNA from 1 species
GACGAACGCUGGCGGCGUGCUUAACACAUGCAAGUCGAACGGAAAGGCCCUGCUUUUGUGGGGUGCUCGAGUGGCGAACGGGUGAGUAACACGUGAGUAACCUGCCCUUUACUUUGUGAUACCUUCAGGAAACUGGGGCUAAUACCGGAUAGGAGCUCCUGCUUCAUGGUGGUGGUUGGAAAUUUUCGGCGGUUGGGGAUGGACUCGCGGCUUAUCAGCUUGUUGGUGGGGUAGUGGCUUACCAAGGCUUUGACGGGUAGCCGGCCUGAGAGGGUGACCGGCCACAUUGGGACUGAGAUACGGCCCAGACUCCUACGGGAGGCAGCAGUGAGGAAUAUUGCACAAUGGGCGGAAGCCUGAUGCAGCAACGCCGCGUGCGGGAUGACGGCCUUCGGGUUGUAAACCGCUUUCGCCUGUGACGAAGCGUGAGUGACGGUAAUGGGUAAAGAAGCACCGGCUAACUACGUG